AUACGGAGGGUGCAAGCGUUAUUCGGAAUCACUGGGCGUAAAGGACGCGUAGGCGGGUUGGCAAGUCAGAUGUGAAAUCCUACAGCUUAACUGUAGAACUGCAUUUGAAACUGCUAACCUAGAGUAUGGGAGGGGGAGAUGGAAUUAGUGGUGUAGGCGUAAAAUCCGUAGAUAUCACUAGGAAUACCGAAAGCGAAGGCGAUCUCCUGGAACAUAACUGACGCUAAGGCGUGAAAGCGUGGGGAGCAAACAGGAUUAGAAACCCUAGUAGUCC
rnacentral:rRNA from 1 species